GGGCCCGUAGCUCAAUGGUCAGAGCAGGGCACUCAUAAUGCCUGGGUUGCGGGUUCGAUCCCCGCCGGCCCCA
rnacentral:tRNA from 1 species